AUCAAUCUCAGGUUCGUAUAAUCUGCAUCUUUUCUGUACGGGCCUUUGAAUUGUAACUAUAUCUCUAUUGAUGAGUCAUAUGACACGGUAAUAUACAGAACCAACAGAGCACCAGCCGGCACACAAAGGCCAACUUGAUCUAUUUCAGUUCCGUGGUACAUCCGUUACAAUUUACAAGUGUACCUAAUACAAAAGAAAUUAAGCACCAAGUUCUUUUAACUUUAAUUCUGGGUCAAAAUCUGGGCUUGCAAUGCUUCACUUUUGGGGUUCUCACAGUUCUAGAUUUUUCUUCUUGAGCACUUGGCUGAGCUGAACCUUCUAGAUCACCAUCGGUGCUUCCACGAACUUCUCCUUUAGGAUGUGCUUCAAGGAGGUCCGGGGGUACUCCAUGCAGCCCCUGAAACCCCAAUUGAACUGGAUGUUCAUGCAGUCGAUAUGGUCUAAUCGGCUAAACAUUGCUGCCAACAGGUAUUUCAUCUGGUGUGCUUUUGGUAGUUUUUAGAGCGGACAACAAGAUGCAAGUUUGAUUCAGAAUCAUAUGUUGUGUUUACUUCACACUUCCCUACAUGUGUGAUACAACACUGCCAUAUUUCCCACAUUGCAUAGAGUGCAGUUAGCCAGGUGCUGAUUGUGAAAAUCAUUGGUACGUAUCUAUGCAAUUUGUUUAUUUUGGCCAAGACAAUCAUAAGUAUUUAAGCCUAUUCUUCAUAGAGCCAUUCCCAUAGUUUUGAUGGUGAAUGAUACAAGUUACAUAUUUAAGUCUAUUUCCAAUACAAAAUGUGACAUCAUGUUUUAUCUGCUCAAAUUAUGUUCUAUUAUGCAUGAAUCAAUGUUGAUAAUUAACCUAUCAUGCCUGCUUUCAGUUACCGAUUAAACAUAUUGGGUUACAUUUGCACCUUUUAAGUAAGCAGGAAAUGUAAAAGAGAUCAUAUUCAAAGUUCAUGCUUCCUCUUGCUGUUAUAUAUCUUUGUAAACACUAUUAUGCUUGCUGCUCUUCAAUGAACAGUUAUAGUUUAUGAUUGGUCCUUUGGUGACAUAUUAGCUUGCCUUAAAUCAUUGCUUGGCACCCUCACACUAGAUUACAUGCAGACAUGUGUGCUGUCAGGAAACUGUGGGGGCAGUGGCCAGUGGGUCACCAUGUCCAUGGUCAUUACCUAGCUCGUGGUCCACGGACGCUGCUGGUCAUUGUUGUUGACCUCCAGCAUAGUCAUGUUCAUGUUACAGGAGAAGAAGGUUAAAUUCUGCAAGAGAGACUGGACAUGUGCAAACUACUUGGUGAGUGCGGGUACGGGUCGAUUGGGAGUUUGGGACUCAUGGGACUUCCAGCGUGGAUCAAAUGAGACACUCAUGUGUGCAGCUGGAAGAGGUGGUGUUGCCAAAGGCAGUGCCAGCUAACGCAUGGAUGGCCAACGAAACCGAUCACCACGACCAGCAUGUAUGCAUCAUAUUAUCAAGCAUUAAGAUGUCAAGGCAUAACUUGCUGGCGGAACCAUUACCAAGCAUGUUGACCAUUUAAACGCAUAUGUUAUCGAACGUGGGAUGAUAUGUGUAGUUUUAUAGCAAUACACAUGCGCUUUGGGAUGUAUAUUUUGCAGCAAUACACAUGCGCUUUGCAAUUAAAUGGCUGGGUGAUUGAAGAGAGGAAAAAAAAUGCAUGUCCUCAAGUAAAAUGAUUAUCUAAAGAAAUGUCUUUGUAUAUUCCGUUGUUGUCCCGUUGCAUCGCAC
rnacentral:lncRNA from 1 species